UAAAUUCGGUUUGGAUUAAAAUAUUUUGUAUCAAGGAUCAGUCCAGCAUCAAUCAAGGAUAUCAUACAUCAAAAUCAUUUUGCAAAUAUCGAAAUUCACCCCAUAAACCAACAAAUUUUAGAAAGAACCUUUUCAAUGUCAUUGACCAAAAAAACCUAAGACAAAAAACCUUCGAAUGCACCAAAUAAGACCACACCAAAUAACCAAGUAAAACCGAGUACUCAUCUAGUAAACUAAUAUAUAAAUAGGGUCUAUGAAUGAAGUACGAUCUCUUUAGCUAAUUAGGGGCUACUUCGAUCUCUGAAGCACAGAAAAGUGGAGUGUAGAGUCAAU
rnacentral:lncRNA from 1 species